rnacentral:rRNA from 1 species
UGGGGAAUCUUGCGCAAUGGGCGAAAGCCUGACGCAGCCAUGCCGCGUGAAUGAUGAAGGUCUUAGGAUUGUAAAAUUCUUUCACCGGGGACGAUAAUGACGGUACCCGGAGAAGAAGCCCCGGCUAACUUCGUGCCAGCAGCCGCGGUAAUACGAAGGGGGCUAGCGUUGCUCGGAAUUACUGGGCGUAAAGGGAGCGUAGGCGGACAUUUAAGUCAGGGGUGAAAUCCCGGGGCUCAACCUCGGAAUUGCCUUUGAUACUGGGUGUCUUGAGUAUGAGAGAGGUGUGUGGAACUCCGAGUGUAGAGGUGAAAUUCGUAGAUAUUCGGAUGAACACCAGUGGCGAAGGCGACACACUGGCUCAUUACUGACGCUGAGGCUCGAAAGCGUGGGGAGCAAACAGG